rnacentral:rRNA from 1 species
AGCGAACGCUGGCGGCAGGCCUAACACAUGCAAGUCGAACGAACCUUUCGGGGUUAGUGGCGGACGGGUGAGUAACACGUGGGAACGUGCCUUUAGGUUCGGAAUAACUCAGGGAAACUUGUGCUAAUACCGAAUGUGCCCUUCGGGGGAAAGAUUUAUCGCCUUUAGAGCGGCCCGCGUCUGAUUAGCUAGUUGGUUGAGGUAAUGGCUCACCAAGGCGACGAUCAGUAGCUGGUCUGAGAGGAUGAUCAGCCACAUUGGGACUGAGACACGGCCCAAACUCCUACGGGAGGCAGCAGUGGGGAAUCUUGCGCAAUGGGCGAAAGCCUGACGCAGCCAUGCCGCGUGAAUGAUGAAGGUCUUAGGAUUGUAAAAUUCUUUCACCGGGGACGAUAAUGACGGUACCCGGAGAAGAAGCCCCGGCUAACCUCGUG